CUGGCCGGGCUGGAAGGUGGCCUGGGAAGGGACCUGUGUUCUCAAGCUUGCACCCUCGGGGCCUGGGGGUGGGGCUGAGCAGAUGUCUGGAUUUGGUAGCCAGGGCCUGGAGCCGGAUGCGGAGAGCCAGGCCUGCAAUUCAUUUCCCCAUUAAACAUUCUGAGAACAUCUGCAGCUCUUCCAAGGCUUCUCCCGCGCUAAUUGCUCUGAUUAGUGUGUGAAGUUAGGACCUGGCACAGCGCGGUGCUGUGAUGAAGGUGAAAAGAUCACCCUUAGAUUAAAAACAUUUUUUUCUCCCUCUGUAAUUUCGCCUUGAGAAUCAAGGCCGUUUUCUUGAUCUCUUCAUCCAAAGACCUCCAGAAACUUCCUCCCCACCUCUCUAGAGGUUUCUGGGGCGUGUCCGGUGAGCUCAGCUCCUGGAGAAGACAGUGCUUAGCCCAGAUUCCAUCCUGU
rfam:Loxodonta africana cont3.89032, whole genome shotgun sequence.